rnacentral:lncRNA from 1 species
GAAAUUGGCCAAAAAUGGGUCCUGAGACUGAAUUUAGGUUUUCGGGACAUUUGUAGGUAGUUAUAGCAUGUUUUAAUCUCUGAAUAAAAAUUUAGGGAACUUGAGGACCACCAGUAGGCGCAGUCAACAGCUUAUCUUUUCGAGCAUCAAAUUGUGUAAGAAUCUAUCACCCUAUUCUCUGUUAUGGAAUUGAAGUUAAAUUUACAAUAAUACGGUAUUUUGUACAAU